rnacentral:tRNA from 1 species
AGUCCUGUGGGAUAGUGGCCAAUUCCGCCGGCCUUUGGAGCCGAAGAUCGCUGGUUCAAAUCCAGCCAGGACUA